AGAUGCUGCUGCUAUAGUACUUUCAGGCAAGGCCAAGGCUUCUUGAAAGGCUGGUCAUGCCCCAGUGAUCAAUGAAGAACUCAGGGAUAUCCCAAAACUCAGGACUAUAAGGCACAAUGGGGGAGCAGGUACCAGGUGGCCAGCAUCCUAAAUGACUCUCAGCAGCUGCAGAGAAUGUAAAUAACAAGAGCUGCCUAUAAAUCUACCUCAGAAGACAAAGGGAAAAGCAAAACUCUGCCCAGGAAGACCUUACUUUACAAACCAGGUGACCAAAUUUCUAAAACAUCAUUCCCGUAAUCCCUGAUCAACAGAAAGGAAGCUCUGGAAGCAUGAAUGGUCAGUACACACAUCGUCCACAGGACUCACACACCACAAACUAGUCAUUGAUCCUUUUGACCCAAUUUCAGAAAAUAUGUUUACAUAGAGACACAUAUUUUUGCUAUUUACUUUUUGAGCAACCAACAGGAAAACCUAUCCACAUAUGUCCAUUAUGAUCCUCUCUAAUGAAGACUAUCUCUUUAUGUUGUUUAAACAAAAAGAAAUUAAUGCAUGAGAAUGUCAAAGUUCUGAGCUUUAAGUUUCUGUACUCAAUAUAUUGAAUAAAAGAUAUAUGUAGUAUAC
rnacentral:lncRNA from 1 species